GACCCGGUCGCGGAUGGUCCGCGCCCGUGAUUCGUACAAAAAUGUUCUCGUAUAUACGGGAGACGCUCGUUCGAUUCGAGCCCGGGCCA